CUGCGUGAUUUUUAUAGUUGAUCCACCGGAGCUUCUGGCCGCCGCCGGAGCAGUUGCCGGGCCGGUUCGAAAUCGCAGCUGCCCCAUUGUGUUAUUCGGAUAUGGAUGCAGAAGUCACGAAAAGUUUAUUUAAUUGUUGUGGAAAUGCUCUGUGUUGCUUUAGAUUAUUAUUUAUUGUACCCUC